GUAGGUGGUUUGUUGCNUCGUCUGUGAAAUUCCGGGGCUUAACUUCGGGGUGGCAGGCGAUACGGGCAUAACUAGAGUGCUGUAGGGGGGACUGGAAUUCCUGGUGUAGCGGUGGAACGCGCAGAUAUCAGGAGGANCACCGAUGGCGAAGGCAGGUCUCCGGGCAGUAACUGACGCUGAGGAGCGAAAGCAUGGGGAGCGAACAGGAUUAGAUACCCUGGUAGUCCAUGCUGUAAACGGUGGGCGUUAGGUGUGGGGACCGGUUUGGUUUCUGUGCCGUAGCUAACGCAUUAAGCGCCCCGCCUGGGGAGUACGGCCGCAAGGCUAAAACUCAAAGGAAUUGACGGGGGCCCGCACAAGCGGCGGAGCAUGUGGAUUAAUUCGAUGCAACGCGAAGAACCUUACCUGGGUUUGACAUGCACCAGACGGUUGUAGAGAUACGUACCUCCCUUUGUGGUUGGUGUGCAGGUGGUGCAUGGUUGUCGUCAGCUCGUGUCGUGAGAUGUUGGGUUAAGUCCCGCAACGAGCGCAACCCUUGUCUUAUGUUGCCAGCACUUUGGGUGGGGACUCAUGAGAGACUGCCGGGGUUAACUCGGAGGAAGGUGGGGAUGACGUCAAAUCAUCAUGCCCUUUAUGCCCAGGGCUUCACACAUGCUACAAUGGUUAGUACAACGCGCUGCGAACCUGUGAGGGUGAGCGAAUCGCUGAAAGCUAAUCUCAGUUCGGAUUGGGGUCUGCAACUCGACCCCAUGAAGUCGGAGUCGCUAGUAAUCGCAGAUCAGCAAUGCUGCGGUGAAUACGUUCCCGGGCCUUGUACACACCGCCCGUCACGUCAUGAAAGUUGGUAACACCCGAAGCCCAUGGCCUAACCACCGUUUGGUGGGGGGAGUGNUCGAAGGUGGGAU
rnacentral:rRNA from 1 species